AAAGAGAGAGAUAGAGCAGUUGUUCUCCUUGGCCUGUCCCAUUUCCUGAAAGAGGAUCCCUCCCAAUUCUUCAAGAUUUGUAAGCCAACCGAAGAGAGUGACGCAGUGAAAGGAAUGAACGUCGGAAUCUUGGUGGUUACAGAGGAGGAUCCUCAACGCCCUGUCUCCAAGGAGAUGAUUGAUAUUGCACUGAUUCUGGAGGAGCAUAUCGUUCUUCGGGACCUGAAGGAUGUGCCCAAAGCAUUUGCCCUGCUGAUGGGUCUGCUGUAUGUCUUCAACAUCCAUUACCCCAAAGGGCUCAAGUACAUGUUCGAGGUAAUAAAAAAGGUGAUAAUUAACAUUUUUGGAGACACUCGCUCUUCAAGAGUUAAUGAACUCCAGAACAAGUUCAUGUCCAAGAGCCUGUGAAACUAAAGACUGCAGUGAUUAUCUUGUUGAUUUGUCAAGCAUUGUAUGUUCUGGAAAGCACACAGUUAAGUAAAUGUGCAGCUGAUGCAUAGAUGGACUAGGUAGUCCAGAUAGUUUCCCCUAUCUCUAGAAGGUGAAAGCUGUUUUACUGGCUAUAUACUUUGGAGUUGCACACCUACUCCAGUCUUUUAAGUUUGCUAAACCUUUUAUCAACACACGCACUUGGACCCUCGUUACCAGUUAAGUCAGUUAAAGGGAAAA